rnacentral:rRNA from 1 species
UACGUAGGGGGCAAGCGUUGUCCGGAUUUAUUGGGCGUAAAGAGCGUGUAGGCGGCCGUACAGGUCAGCUGUGAAAAACUCGAGGCUCAACCUCGAGACGUCGGUUGAAACCGUACGGCUAGAGUCCGGAAGAGGAGAGUGGAAAUUCCCGGUGUAGCGGUGAAAUGCGCAGAUAUCGGGAAGAACACCCGUGGCGAAGGCGGCUCUCUGGGACGGUACUGACGCUGAGACGCGAAAGCGUGGGGAGCGAACAGG